AUUCCGGUUGAUCCUGCCGGAGGCCAUUGCUAUCGGAGUCCGAUUUAGCCAUGCUAGUCGUGCGAGUUCAGACUCGCGGCACCGAGCUCAGUAACACGUGGCCAAACUACCCUACAGAGACGGAUACCCUCGGGAAACUGAGGUUAACCCGUCAUAUCGAUCUCAGGCUUGAAUCGCAGAGAUCACAAAACGCCCCGGCGCUGUAGGUUGUGGCUGCGGUUGAUUAGGUAGACGGUGGGGUAACGGCCCACCGUGCCCAUAAUCAGUACAGGUUGUGAGAGCAAGAACCUGGAGACGGAAUCUGAGACAAGAUUCCGGGCCCUACGGGGCGCAGCAGGCGCGAAACCUUUACACUGCACGAAAGUGCGAUAGGGGAAUCCCAAGUGCGAGGGCAUAUUAGCCCUCGCUUUUCUCGACUCUAAGGUGGUCGACGAAUAAGAGCUGGGCAAGACCGGUGCCAGCCGCCGCGGUAAUACCGGCAGCUCAAGUGAUGUCCCAUAUUAUUGGGCCUAAAGCGUCCGUAGCUGCCGACCAAGUCUCCCGGGAAAUCC
rnacentral:rRNA from 1 species